rnacentral:rRNA from 1 species
UACGUAGGCAGCGAGCGUUGUUCGGAAUUACUGGGCGUAAAGAGUGUGUAGGCGGUGCUCCCAGUCUGUUGUGAAAUCUCCCGGCUUAACUUGGAGGGUGCAGCGGAAACUAGAGUGCUAGAGGGUGGGAGAGGUAAGCGGAAUUCCUGGUGUAGCGGUGAAAUGCGUAGAUAUCAGGAGGAACACCUGUGGUGUAGACAGCUUACUGGACCACUACUGACGCUGAGACACGAAAGCGUGGGUAGCAAACAGG